UGAAGUUGGACUUUCCAUGGAACAAGUUUGAAACACUAUAUCACUACGAACUUAAGUUUUAGCUACUGACGUUACGUGGACUGAUAGCAAUUCAAAGAAAGAGGAAGUCAUGUGACAAUCAGAGCUUUAUAUAUGGUUAUGUACUCUUUUAUGAUUGGUUCAAAGUUUAUUGAUUGACUUGUGCUGCUGGAGGCACGAGUAAAGAAAGUCAUGCAAAAUACUCGCCUCCUGUCAUUAUUAAAAUUAAGAUUAUAG